rnacentral:rRNA from 1 species
UACAUGGGGUGCAAACGUUGCUCGGAAUUAUUGGGCGUAAAGCGCGCGUAGGCGGUUACUCAAGUCGGAUGUGAAAGCCCUCGGCUUAACUGAGGAAGUGCACCCGAAACUGAGUAGCUAGAGUACUAAAGAGGGUCGCGGAAUUCCCGGUGUAGAGGUGAAAUUCGUAGAUAUCGGGAGGAACACCGGUGGCGAAGGCGGCGACCUGGGUAGAUACUGACGCUGAGGCGCGAAAGCGUGGGAGCAACAGG